GUGUUGACCUCUGUAGGCCAGCUCAUAGGUCAGUGUGCUGACCUCUGUAGGCCAGCUCAUAGGUCAGUGUGCUGACCUCUAGGCCAGCUCAUAGGUCACUGUGCUGACCUCUAGGCCAGCUCAUAGGUCACUGUGCUGACCUCUAGGCCAGCUCAUAGGUCAGUGUGCUGACCGAUACCCAUCCUGUCAACCCCUUAUCAGUGCCCCACCUUAUUAACAAACCAAUUCAGACCUCAUUGGGUCACCCCGUGCCCUUAUAAAUAUCAACGUUAAUUCUACAAAGUCCCAUCACAAGGGAGAAACCCAAACAAAUAAACUAAAAUGCCCAUGUUGAAAUGGCUGUACGCCGUAUGGACCUGAAAACUAAAUGUCCCUGUACAAGAAUACGGGGUAAACGAAUUGGUUGACAGGUAUGGAUACCUGUAUAAGGCGGUUCAUUGGCGAGCAAGCCAUCUGCUCCCUUUGGAACACCUGAUGCCUAACAUCAAUAUCCUUCAAGUAACUUCCCACACAAACUCUUGUCAAAGUGUCUCCCUGCUCGAACCAUCGGUGAGCUUUCAGCCAAGUGGGGAAAAUUCCCCAUUCCUAUGGUGGCGGCGGUGGAGACGGGGUCUCUCCGCAGCACGAAAACUGUUGACUCGCCGCAAAGUGGUACUUAUUUUAUGGACACUGAUGGAGCUGAUGGGCUGAACCGAAACCCUGGCUGGGAUUUCAAUUCGCAGCCGGCUUGCGCGAGCGCGAGAGGAAGCGAGCGGGGUGGUUGGGGGGGGGGCUGGGGCUAACCGCGGCUCCGCGCGGUCACAGUUUUACGAGAUGUCGGUGAAAUAGUUGGAACUGUAAACCGACACGUGGAUUAUUAUAAAUCGACGGCGCCGUUUACUGCCGCGAGCUAUUUGCGAGACCAGUGACCCCCCCCCCCGCCCCCCAUCAGCACCGCACGGCGCAAAUGUUUGCGGCACCGCCUCGCCAACAAACGUCCAGCCCAGUGGCCGCUCACGGCGCCGAGACUCCCUCGGCGUCACGACCGGCCCCGCGGUGAUGGUGACGAGGUGGAGAGACGACGCGCUCGCUCGGACACACACACACACGCGCGCGUGCGUGCGUUCUAGCCCCGGGCCAAUUCACGGCCAAGUCGGACUCGAAAGUUGCGUGCCGCCGGGCUGGACCCACGGCUAAAAAGAGGAAUCGAUGGCAAAGCCAACGGCGAUUUCUGGACGGAUUUUUGACCACUAGAUCCGUGCUGCCAUCAUCCCUGCUGGCAUGUGGCGGGACAAUGCCAAUGCCCACGGGCGUGUGACUCACAGCCCCCCCCCCCCCCCCCCCACAGCUCUUGGUGCGACUGGCGAGUGAGAUUCGCCGAUGUGGUUUAUAUUGAAGUGGGGGCGAGGGCUCGGUGUGACGACGCUGUGUUUUCUUGACCGGGCAUUUAAUUCAGAAACAUUCGGAGCGUCUCCCUGCCGAAUCGAGCGUGGGGGCGAUUUUCACUUGUGUCACCGGAGUUCGCGUGAUGAUGGUUCCUCAAGGAUCAUAAAGCAUCAUCACGCAUCAUACUCUUUGGUUCUAUUCGGGGUCAUCCUCUCAGCAGCGGCUUUUGGCUAACCAUCGAACGAAGACGGUCACCGCAUCGCGCGCUUUCAGACGCGCUUCUGCGGCCGUCUGGAACGCUCUCCCUUCCGGAAGAAGGAAGGCACUGGAGUUAUGCACUUUUAAAAUUUCUAAAUUGAAAAUAAUUUAUUUCAGAACUGCUUUUUGUGUUUAGUUGGUUGUCCUUUCCCGCACCUCUGAUUAGCUCUGUCGGCUACGUACGGUGCAAAAUAAGGUCAACAUACAUACUGGGCCAGUGGUGGAAACUCCACGUUCCUAUGGCGGGGGGCAGUCUGUGCACAGGACAAUGUCGAUAAUCUAAUAAACAGAUACAACAGGA